AUGUCCGGAGCAGGAGGCAAAUGGGUGACUUCCAUCGUGAAGGAGGAGAACAUCGCAAGUCUUCGGGCGACCGGAUACUUGGCCGCAGACAUAGCGCACCGGCUACCAGACGGCGGGCAGGUCAUUCCAACUCCAGGACCCCACGAGAGGGUCGUGUUUCUUGCCCACUUCGUCCGUGGACUGGGGUUUCCACUCCACCCCUUCGUCCGUGGGCUCAUGUUCUACUACGGGCUAGAUUUCCAUGAUCUAGCCCCGAACUUCGUCCUCAACAUCUCGGCGUUCAUUGUUGUAUACGAGGCUUUCCUCCGCAUCAAGCCUCAUUUCGGCUUGUGGCUGCAAACCUUCUGCGUGAAGCCGAAGAUCGUGAGCGGCCAGCAAGCAGAGUGCGGAGGAGCCAUGGUGGGCAAAAUGCCUAACGUCACCUAG
rnacentral:rRNA from 1 species